UUAGAUCGUACCCACACUUACUUGGAUAACUGUGGUAAUUCUAGAGCUAAUACAUGCAAACAGAGCUCCGACCGGAGACGGAAGGAGCGCUUUUAUUAGAUCAAAACCGAUCGGUGGUGGAUUUACUCCAUCAUCGUACAAUCUGGUGAAUCUGAAUAACUUUAAGCUGAUCGCACGGUCUCGCACCGGCGACGCAUCUUUCAAAUGUCUGCCUUAUCAACUGUCGAUGGUAGGUUCUGCGCCUACCAUGGUUGUAACGGGUAACGGGGAAUCAGGGUUCGAUUCCGGAGAGGGAGCCUGAGAAACGGCUACCACAUCCAAGGAAGGCAGCAGGCGCGCAAAUUACCCACUCCCGGCACGGGGAGGUAGUGACGAAAAAUAACGAUACGGGACUCAUCCGAGGCCCCGUAAUCGGAAUGAGUACACUCUAAACCCUUUAACGAGGAUCAAUUGGAGGGCAAGUCUGGUGCCAGCAGCCGCGGUAAUUCCAGCUCCAAUAGCGUAUAUUAAAGUUGUUGCGGUUAAAAAGCUCGUAGUCGAAUCUGUGUCUCGCACCGCCGGUUCAUCGUUCGCGGUGUUAACGGGCGUGCCGUGGGACGUCCUGCCGGUGGGCUUAGCUCGCAAGGGCGGCCCAACUCAAUCCUGCCGCGGUGCUCUUCAUUGAGUGUCGAGGUGGGCCGGCACGUUUACUUUGAACAAAUUAGAGUGCUUAAAGCAGGCUAAAAUUUCGCCUGAAUACUGUGUGCAUGGAAUAAUGGAAUAGGACCUCGGUUCUAUUUUGUUGGUUUUCGGAACCCCGAGGUAAUGAUUAAUAGGAACGGAUGGGGGCAUUC
rnacentral:rRNA from 1 species